rnacentral:rRNA from 1 species
UCCGUAGGUGAACCUGCGGAAGGAUCAUUACCAAAUCCAAAUUAAAACUUUCUUUUCGUCUCCUCGGAGCGGAAAGGAAAACCUUUGUGUGAACUUUAAAUAAUGUAUAGUAGGUUGGGGAAGUCAGUCAAAUGAUUUCCCCAACAGCAUCAUUAUAAACCACUUUUUUUAUAUAUAUUUUAUAAUAACCUUUUUUUUUUUUUUAGAUUUUCUUCUGAAAAAAAAAAGAGAAAAAAAAAAAGAGAAACAACUUUUAACGGUGGAUCUCUUGGCUCGUGCAUCGAUGAAGAACGCAGCAAGCUGCGAUACGUAGUGUGAAUUGCAGAAUUCAGUGAAUCAUCGAAACUUUGAACGCAAAUUGCGCUUUCGGGUAUUCCCGGGAGCAUGCCUGUUUGAGGAUCAGUAAAUUAUACUCAUCCUGAAUUCAUUUUCAUGAUGGAAAUGAAGGAUUCAGCAGCCCGUUCUCCUUUUCAUUAAGGAUGACGGGCUGUUGUCCUUUUAAAUGAAGAGACGUAUGAGAGAGAAGAGGCGUUUUAACGAUAAACUUUUCGUUGCCUUUUUCUUGUAUAAUACUUCUUCAUCUUUUGCGACAGGGAUCCAGUGAUGGGUUCUUGUCCCAAAGAUACAUUAUACUGCUCUUUUGUACAUCAUUGAUGGUGAUAAAAAGAAACUUUUUAUGUAGUCGUCAGUGCGUAUAGAUUUGGAGUGUAUUUUUGGAGAAAGCAUGAAGGUAGUUUUGUUCAGGGAAAGCAACACUUUACAGGAAGGAAUAUCUAGUCUCAUCUCAAUAAGAUCAUAGCUGUCUUAAAAAAAUUAAAUUUUCAUUAAUGAUCUCAAAUCAGACAAGACUACCCGCUGAAUUUAAGCAUAUUAAUAAGCGGAGGAAAAGAAACUAACUAGGAUUCCCCCAGUAACGGCGAGCGAAGCGGGAAAAGCUCAAAUUUAAAAUCUUCGCGUUUCGCGCGACGAAUUGUAGUUUAUAGAAGCGUUUUCUAGGGCAGCCUUGGUAUAAAUCCUUUGGAACAGGGUAUCAUAGAGGGUGAGAAUCCCGUCUUUGACUGAGUGCCUGUCCUUUUACGAUACGCUUUCGAAGAGUCGGGUUGUUUGAGAAUGCAGCCCAAAAUGGGUGGUAAAUUUCAUCUAAAGCUAAAUACUGGCACGAGACCGAUGGCGAACAAGUACCGUGAGGGAAAGAUGAAAAGAACUUUGAAAAGAGAGUUAAAUAGUACGUGAAACCGUUAAAAGGGAAACGCUUGAAGU